rnacentral:lncRNA from 1 species
AUUACCAUAUAACUGUCCGACCCCCCCCCCCCCAAAACCCUAGAGACCGACCUUACUUCCCCCUUUCUCAUCUCUCUCACCUCCGCCGCCCGCCGGAAAUCGCCUUCGGCGGCGGCGAUACCCCCAAACUACCUUAAAUUGAUACCACACACUCCCCACACCCCCCUGAUCAUCAUCCUACUGCCAAUUUCCCCAAAAUCCCUGCCAAAUUUCUCCAAUUUCAGAUCUUAAAGAUGGCCAGAAACCCUAGUCACCCUUUUUUCGAUUUCCCGAGUUUUCAAGGCUCGAUUUGACUUGAAACUUGCGUUAAACAAUUGUUCUAGUUGAGAUGAUAGUCUUGGUUCAUUUCGAGGAUUACCGGAUUCUGACCAAGUCACCACUGACCGGCCAAAGCUUCGUCGCCAUCAUCGCUCGUUGAUUCGCCUCAAUCAUCGACUCACUUCCGGCCAAAUUAGUAUACUUUUCUUUUCCCUUUUCCUUGUUUCUUGUUCUGUUUUUAUUUUAUUUUGGAUCAUUAGUUAGGUGUUAAGUAUUAAUUAGUUCAAUUAAAAAUAGGAUUAUUUAUGUUAAUUGCUUAAUUUAGGAUUAAUAUCCUUUUGUUUAUCAUUUUUUGCUUAGUUUUCUGUUCUGGCCGGAUUGGUACCUAAAUCCGGUCAAACUAAUUUUUGUUUGCAUGCCUUUAUUAAGUGCAUAAUCAGUUAGUGUGUUUAAUUGUAUAAGUUAUCGAUCAAUUGUUAAAUAAUUUGGUUGGUUAAUGUUUGUUCAUAUCAGUGUAUUUUUUUAUGUCUUAAUUGAUACAUGAGGGAGCUAAAGGAACAUGGAACCUUAGGGCAUUGAAAAUCAGAAAUUAGGUUAAAAUUGGGGUGGUUAUUUGUAUUAAGCAGAACUUAGGGAGAUCAAUUGGACAGUAAAAAUGGGGAAUUUCAUAUAAGCAUAUAAGAAGCUUCUAGAUCUUGGACAACUAUCCAUUUUUAGUUUUAAAAGAUCCUGCAAUUUGAAAGAAUUAUCUAGAAAUAGGGACAACUGUCCAAAGCUGUUAAAAAAAUGCUUUUUUCCUAAAUUUUAGGGACUGACAUUCUAGAAUGAUUCCCUGAUUUUUCUGUGCACACAACAGAUUUUAUGCUCUAUAUAAGAGACCUCACACUCCCUCACAGACGUUAUUUUCUCUGCAUUUCUCACCCACAAAGACUCACUGAUUCUAUACAGAAGAAUAGUCUAAAAUUUGAAUAUAUGCUUAGGAAAACCCAAAAAAAAAGAGUUUAAAAAACCACUUUAAAUUCCAUGGCAUGGUUUCAAUAGUUUAUGAGUUAUGGCUGGACUUUGAGGUAGACUUGAAGUUGUUUCUUAUUGUUACAUCUGCUGCUUGUGUUGUGUUGUUAAGCUUGGCUAAGCUCCGGAAUUCACCAUUUUGACCUUUAUUUGGUCUUCUUUCUGCUGUAUACUUUUUUUUUCUGCUCUUAGGUAUGUGACUGCAUUCUUAUAUUUCUCCAUUGAAUGGAAUUUCCUGUUUAAUCCAUGUUUGAGUAUAUAUAUCUGUUUGUGAUAAGUUCAGAUUUUGAUUACAUGUGUUAAUUUUGUCCAGAUUUGUUCCCAUUUGUCCUUAUAAAUUAACGUUUUUGACUGUUUAUGCCAUAAUCUUGUUUGAUCCAGUAUGUUGUUUGGCUAAAUGUAUUGGUAAAAAAUAAAUAUUACACGUGGAAUAAUAUGCGGAUGACAUGGCAAGAUACGUGGAUUACUAAGAAGAUGACAACUGGAGUUCCACAUUAAAAGGAGUCACGAUUUAUAACAGGUACGAGCAAAUCACUCACGAGACGAAUAGGUACGGUUGCCCGAGCCUAAAUUAUUCAGUGAAGAGACACAUGCAUGAUGAAUCAAGACAGUAAAGAGGGAAGAUUCAUGAACCUCAAAUUAAUGUGGAAGAAGAAUUGAAACCGUUAUAGAAUCUUCAUGAACAGUUACGGUUGUCAAUUAUAACGUUUCAUUAAUGUCAUUAAUGCUCAUAACGAUUCUGUCAUAAAAAGGAAGAAACGUUAUAUUUGUAAAUUCCUAUAUAAGGGAAGGGAAUUUCACUUGUAAGGAGACGUUCUAAUGAAUAUUGGCAUAUAAUUACUUUCUUGUGCUUUCUACUGAUUACUUUG